rnacentral:rRNA from 1 species
CAAUAGCGUAUAUUUAAGUUGUUGCAGUUAAAAAGCUCGUAGUUGGAUUUCGGGUGGGACGCAGCGGUCUCGCAUUGCGUUUGUACUGCUGCAGCCCUCCUUCUUGCCGGGGGCGGCCUCUCGGACUUCACUGUCUGGGGGUCAGAAUCGGCGAUGUUACUUUGAGUAAAUUAGAGUGUUCAAAGCAAGCUUACGCUCUGAAUAUAAUAGCAUGGGAUAACACGACAGGACUCUGGCCUAUCGUGUUGGUCUAUAGGACCAGAGUAAUGAUUAAGAGGGACAGUCGGGGGCAUUCGUAUUCCGUUGUCAGAGGUGAAAUUCUUGGAUUUACGGAAGACGAACAUCUGCGAAAGCAUUUGUCAAGGAUGUUUUCAUUAA